GGGAACCGAGCCGCCCAGCUCUGCUCUGCCACACAGCUCCGUGCCCACUGCCACUGCAACGGUGCAGAGGAGCAGCACUGCUUCACUUCUGCCUUUGAAACCACAGCAAGCACGAUGCAAACCAAACCAUGGGUACCGAAGAUGUCCAAAGAGGCAGGCUGACUCUCCUGCCCUCGAAGACAGGUUUGGCUCCACGAGCAGAGCAGAGGGAAUCGUUUUUAACUGGUUUAAACUAUGAUGGACUCAAGUGGAAAACGCAAGGAGAGUUAGCGAGGAGCAUAAUUGACUGGGCAUGGAACUCAGUAACCUCUCAGCACGCUGGAAGUGGUGGAGCAGAGGGGUUACGGCCAGGGCUGCUCCGCACCCACAGCCCUUUCUUCCCAAAGUGAACUCCGCCAGCAGCCAAAGACGGCAAUGACAACAACCUCUGGAGAGAUAGUCCCUCCUGACUCCUCACCAUGGCAACCGGUGUCUCAUUUCAGAAGUGUCAUGCCACAUUAUCAUCUUGCCGGCUCACACACUCCUGCCUGACAAGUUCUCUCUGCCCCUUGUGACAACCAUUCCAGGCUUAUGCUGUUUAUUUUUGGUGUCAGGCUGGCCCUGGCAGAUUGAAAGGCAACCUCAACCCCUUGAACAACAAGCACCACACCCCACUUGGCGAUAAGAGAUGAUUUGAGAAGAUAUUUGCUUACAUGUGUAUAAGCAAUUUGCUGUAUGAUGAAGCCCCGGUGUGCCUGUGUGAACGCACACGUAUGUGUGCAAAGGGGAAGGAACUGCAGAAGCGUAACAUUUCAUGAGAAAACAAACAAUUCAUUGCGGAUCCCAGGUAGCAGGCUUCAAUCAUCACAUCCCAUCGUACACACAGAACGUGAAACGUGGGCCACAAAGGCACCACGGGUACUCCCCACAAAGAGAAACGACAGCUAAGCUCGGUCUGUCCCUGCAAAACAGCCUCGCUGUGUCCCUGCAGAGCGCUGCGAGAUGCAGCGGCAGAGGCACCCCAUAGGAGGAAUGGGGACAAAACACGACAGUUCACUGCAGAAACACGCUAGGGCCAGAUUCAUCUCUGCUGUCAUGGAGUCCAUUUGGAACAGCACUGUUGUCAUUGAAUUACUUGGGACUGCCUGCAAUUGGAAUCACAGAACCUUGUCUUCAAGUAGCAGGCUGCGUGCAUCAUGGAGACUUCCUUUUAACUAUCCAAUUUUUACAGCCUGUACAUAAGCAGGACUAUGUCUACAGCUAGGGUUUCUUGGUGUAAGCACAAUUAAAGCUGAUAGUAAUUACAAAAGUAUGUAUUACAUUUGUUUUUAACGCUAAACUUAAGAAUACGGCAGUAUUUGUUUUAUGUUUACUUGGCUGGUUGAGGUGGUGGUGGUAGAGCAGGGCUUCUCUCCACUCCGAGUCAGGGAUAGCGUCCCACCCUCCCACCUCACCAGGCACAGAACAAGCUGCUCCUGGACCAACUGUUCCAUUGCUACCUGUCAGGAGGAAAGCUGCAGGGAAUCGGACAUGAUGUCCGGGUAGCAGCAGCACGAAGGAGAAAUGAAGGAGCAGGUUGGCAGAUCAACACAGAUUUCAUAUUUACUAUCCAGCCCAGUUAUUGUAGGCUGUGCCUACAGCUGUGCACUUGAUUUAGUUUACAGGCACUGCUUCAGCCCUGGUAAGAGGUGGGAGUGUGCUUCACCGCGGCGUUUACACAGAUCACAACGUAAACAAAACUUGACCCAACACCUUUUAUGUUAUCUCAGAGAAAGAAUCAUAAACUGAGCAAAAUCCACACCAUUAACUCCAGUGCAGUCUUUGAUCAAAUCGGGAGCUAAAAGGAAAACAGAUUUCCUUAAAAACAAACUAACAAAGCAGUAUGUGCAUUUCAUUUUUAAUCCAUUUUCUAGCAACCACACCAUAGAAAGGCAGAGGCUCACAACAGCAAUGCAUCUGAACACAAAAUAUGGCCAUCCCAAGGCACACUAAUGGCAUCCACAGCGCUGGUAAGAGGGAGCACGGAUGUUUUUACAACUGUAGGAUGGGGAAAAUUACUGUUGAUUAUGGAGCAGCAAUGAAAUGCCACAGUUGUGAGUGAUAAACACAGCAAAUGCUACAGGGGGUCCUUCUGGAAAAGGAAAAAAGGGGAACGUUUCGUCAUGCAGAAAAAUAUCCCAGGAAAAAAGGAUGGAGGUGACGCCUGCGUGGCUGUUACCAACCACGGGCUUCAUUCUGCCCCCAGCUGCACACGUGCAACCCAUCACCAGCGAAUGGAGACGGGCUCCCAUUGCAGCAGAACACUGCACAGCCACUUUGCCCUACAGGAAACACCGUAUGCAUGUCAGCCAGCAGAACCUUCUUACUUCUUCUCGUUAGUACUGUGCAUACGCAACCAGAUGCAAAUAUAUACACUUGCAUGCAUUGCUACUGCCACAUAACCCAGCCUGGGAUAUCCCAUUCCCAAACACCUGAGUACCUACACAGCUCUUCAUGGGUGCAAAGCCUCCAGGACUGCAGCAAUGAAACAGCGGAACAGAACUCACAUUGCCUGCGAGGCCCAUCUAUUCAUCUCUGCCCACAAGACUCCCUCGCACCACUGCAUGCUUUUUAUACUUCAUUAAAGCAAAUCACUGAUGUUCUUCAGCUGACAAACAUCCCCGGAAAGGAUGCAAAGAGCGGCAAGAAUUCGGCUUUGGCAAGCAGAUCUAUUUUCAUCUUACAUUUACAGUUGCUUGUGCAUAUCUAUAUAUCCAUCUGCAUCCCUAUCUUCAUAAAAACCUAACUGCAACAAAAUAAAUGAUAAUAAUUCUGCUGUUUCUGUUUCCGCUCUUCCCCAUCAGAAAGCUGGUAAUAAAACAAGCUCUCUAAAACAGGCAUUACCAACCCAGGCCAUGCAAACAAACACUUCACUGUUUUAUAAUCUCACAUGUCGAAUGAACAUCAUCGUUCCCUUUGGUGCCUUAAAAUAUCGGGUCCAUAAAAUUACUAAAAGGCAGAGCAGCAAUGCUGCCUAACACGCAGCCCACGGGAAGGCUGACAGUGCCCCAUCAGCUUCGCUUGUUGGCAGCUCUGAAUGUGCGUAGCACUGUUGGUUGGGCAAAGCGCUCACAGAGCACUGCGUGAACACAGCCGGGCCGUGGGAGCAGCACACCACGAGGUGACCCCGAGCCCUGGGGAUGCGGAUGGUGCAGUGUCCCUUUGGCCUUCUGCAGGCGGAAGAUGCCAGCACUUAUCCUAGCUGUGCAGCACAGAGGGCUCAAGGAGAAAUACCGUGGGACACCAGAUAUGGGCAUUAGAGCGCAAUCCCUUACAGAGCGUGGUCAGUCCACUGCUGUAGUUGGUUUUAAACAGCACUGUGCACUGCGUGAUGGAUGUUGACAAAAAAAAACAACCCCAUAAUUACAAACAAACAAAAAAAAAGACCCAAACCCUGAACCGA